rnacentral:lncRNA from 10 species
GGCAUCCGGAUGGCGACUGCGGGAAAUCGAGUUCUCAUGCUGGGGCGAAAGGUGUGUCUGCAGGAGCCAAAUCCAAAUGAGCAGUCCAGGUACUUCAGAGUUUUAACCUGAGCGAAACAGGAAUGUCUCGGGUCUUAACAGGACCGUCCGCCCGCUCGGAAGAGGCGAAUCUCCCACGGCAGACGUCUGGGUGUGCGAAUGCCAGUUGAGCGGGGCCUCGAGGACGCGUCACACACAGCGAGGAUUUGAGGAGGGAAGCGCCUUCCAGAGCUUCAGAGAAGAGGCAGAAGUGUGCAAACAGGAGCAGGUCCAAGAUUUGCAUGGCCAGAAGCAAUUCUUGAUCCUCUUGGCUAGAUUCGAAGAUUUGGCCACCUCCAGACGCUACCACACUCUGGGACAGUGGGAGAUUUGGAACAGCUUUGAGAAGAGCAAGGAAAAGAAAAUUUGGACAUAGACUCAUACAGAGGAAAGAUGAUGUGAGGACAGACAUCUAAGCCACGGAGCAAGGCCCUUCCCUCACAGCUCUCAGAAGGAACCAAACCUGUUGACAUCUGUUUUUUUUUUUUUGAGAUGGAGUCUAGCUCUGUCGCCCAGGCUGGAGUGCAGUAGCACGAUCUCAGCUCACUGCAGCCUCCGCCUCCCAGGUUCAAGCAAUUCUCCUGCCUCAGCCUCCCGAGUAGCUGGGAUUACAGGCACCCGCCACCACGCCCGGCUAAU